rnacentral:rRNA from 1 species
UUGGAGGGCAAGUCUGGUGCCAGCAGCCGCGGUAAUUCCAGCUCCAAUAGCGUAUAUUAAAGUUGUUGCAGUUAAAAAGCUCGUAGUUGAAUUUCGGGAUCGAAUUGUUGGUCGUGCCUCGGUACGCACUGGCAUUAUCGGUUCCUACCUUCUGAAGAACCGCGAUGUCAUUAAUUUGGUGUCGUGGGGAAUCAGGACUGUUACUUUGAAAAAAUUAGAGUGUUUAAAGCAGGCUUACGCUUGAAUACAUUAGCAUGGAAUAAUGAAAUAGGACGUUUGAUUCUAUUUUGUUGGUUUCUAGGAUCGACGUAAUGAUUAAUAGGGAUAGUUGGGGGCAUUAGUAUUCGAUUGUCAGAGGUGAAAUUCUUGGAUUUAUUGAAGACUAACUACUGCGAAAGCAUUUGCCAAGGAUGUUUUCAUUAAUCAAGAACGAAAGUUAGGGGAUCGAAGACGAUCAGAUACCGUCGUAGUCUUAACCAUAAACUAUGCCGACUAGGGAUCGGAUGAUGUUAAUUUUAUAAUGACUCAUUCGGCGCCUUACGGGAAACA